rnacentral:lncRNA from 1 species
AAAAGCUUUCCUUCCAGCUGCCAGGAGCCCAGGGUCCCAAGGAAAGCUCAGCGAAGCACUCAGUGGUCUGGAUCUUUGUUGGCUGUACCCUUGCUGGACAGACAAACACAGCUGGCUUAAAAGCGCCAACCUGCUGAAGACGGCUGUGCCGUGGCACGCACGCAGCUUUUGCACAUGCAGCAGGGCCGUUCUCCUCACUGCCCGAUGAGUGGUCACCGCAG